CACCUCUCUUCGGGAUAAAAACUGAAAACAUCUUGAUCGUGUGUGGAUGCUGCAAUUAAAAUAAAAGUUGAAAAGAUUUUUGCGAACCCGUAUAUAUGUUAAUAUCCUUAUAAAGAAUAAAUUAUUGGCGUACAAAACCAUACCAUCUCCAAAUCCAUAACAGGGGAUCAAAUUAUCUUCAUCAAAAGCUGCUAAGGUUUUCCCAAUAAUGGAUAUUGCCAUUUCAUAGGGAUUCAAACCAUCUCCAAUAUGAUGUAAACUUUUUCGGUGGAAGGAUCUUGAACCUAUUUACCAAACGUAUGGUUAGCAUAACCACUUUCGUAAAGUAAUUUAAAAUUACUGAGGAUUAUAAUUUUACCUGUCCACUCAUUGCUCUUCGUGAAGUCAAUACCGAGAAUGAGGUUAGACGACUCGAGACCUGCACAAAAAACUUCUAGUAAAUUAAUUAAAACUCAGAUGAUUUAGACACUAAAUCAAAUCAUAACCCUAUACUUAUAGCAAACUAUAAGAAAUAACAUGGAAAUCAAAGACAAAUAGUCUCGAAAUUAGCCCUAGAAACCGAUCGGUAUUUUUUUUUUUUUUAAAAAGCCUAAUAAAGCGGUUACGGAGAAAGCUUCUCUUUAGAUUGCGGUUACGUUACUUAUCUUCAUGUAUAUUGUGUGCAAUAUAAGUGUUUGAAUUAAAAACCGGUAAUUAAACAAUCGUAUACAGAAAGCUUGAUUUCAUACAAGUGCGUCAACAGACGGCGCCGCCGUGUAAUCUGAUGGAUAUUUGUUACCACAUAACGGUCAACGUAGAUCAGCGAAAGUUUGGUAAUCCAACAACAAAAGUGAAUUCGGAUUCGAAUCAAAUUCAGAUUUAAAAUCAGUAGUUAAGCAUAUUCAGUACAUACAGAUAAAGUAAUGAAUGAAUCAAAGAGACAAACCUGAUUAUAAUAUGUGAUUGAGACUUUGCUGUGAUGGAAAAUUAUUUCCGAUUAGG
rnacentral:lncRNA from 1 species